GAUGAAGAACGUAGCGAAAUGCGAUAAUUAAUGUGAAUUGCAGAAUUUAGUGAAUCAUCGAAUCUUUGAACGCACAUUGCGCCCUCUGGUAUUCCGGAGGGCAUGCCUGUCCGAGCGUCAUUGCUGCCCUCCAGCCCGGCUGGUGUGUUGGGCCCCGUCCCCCUUCCCGGGGGGACGGGCCCGAAAGGCAGCGGCGGCACCGCGUCCGGUCCUCGAGCGUAUGGGGCUUUGUCACCCGCUCUUGUAGGCCCGGCCGGCGCCAGCCGACCCCCUCAAUCUAUUUUUCAGGUUGACCUCGGAUCAGGUAGGGAUACCCGCUGAACUUAAGCAUAUCAAUAAGCGGAGGA
rnacentral:misc_RNA from 1 species